UGCUGCCCCCCCCACUGGGGCCGUGUGCAACUCGCGCAUAGACUACGGUCGCCCGCUGCCCUCGCGCAUCAUUCGAACAUCGCGCACCGCAGUCUCGGCAUCUACGCCCUGAACUGUAUACGCGUCCGGGAGAUCAUCCCGCAGCGACUUCGACGAACAGGAUAAGUUAAGCGAGCACAAUGCCUUUCAAACCAGCAGAUAACCCUAAGUGCCCUAAAUGCGGCAAAUCAGUAUACGCAGCUGAGGAGAGAGUCGCCGGAGGACUCAAAUGGCACAAAAUGUGCUUCAAGUGCGGCCUGUGCCAGAAGUUGCUGGACUCCACCAACUGCUCAGAACACGAAGGUGAACUGUACUGCAAAGUGUGCCAUGCACGUAAAUUCGGACCAAAAGGCUACGGCUUCGGCGGUGGUGCUGGCUGCCUGUCCAUGGACACUGGUGACCACCUGAAGGCUGAGAAUGCGGGCGUAAGGACUAACGGAGCUUGUCUGGAACCACGUGUUAUCGCCAAGGCGCCCCCCGGGGAAGGUUGUCCCCGAUGCGGUGGCUACGUGUACGCCGCCGAACAGAUGUUAGCUAGAGGACGGGGCUAUCACAGGCGAUGCUUCAAAUGCUUAAAUUGCAACAGGACCCUUGAUUCAAUGAUGCAUUGUGAUGGGCCAGAUGGUGACAUUUACUGUAGAGGCGUGGCACAAGGAGUGCUUCAAAUGCGGAGACUGCUUAAAACGGCUGGACUCUACUAACUGUUGCGAGGGCCCAGACAAAGACAUUUACUGCAAAGUAUGUUAUGGGAAGAAGUUUGGUCCUAAGGGAUAUGGUUACGGAAAAGGAGCCGGUGUCUUGCAGAGUGACCCUUACGCCAAUGGUGAGCAAGCACCAAAGACUACGGUGAUUGAUACCGCUUCCAUUCAGGCGCCACCUG
rnacentral:misc_RNA from 1 species